UGGGCAACCUGCCCCAGACUCAGGGAUAACCCCGGGGAAACCGGGGCUAAUACCCGAUACUCCGAUCGAACCACAUGGCUCGAUCGGGAAAGCUCCGACGGUCUGGGAUGGGCCCGCGGCCUAUCAGCUUGUUGGUGGGGUAACGGCCUACCAAGGCGACGACGGGUAGCUGGUCUGAGAGGGCGACCGGCCACACUGGGACUGAGACACGGCCCAGACUCCUACGGGAG
rnacentral:rRNA from 1 species